rnacentral:rRNA from 1 species
GGUAAUGGCCCACCAAGCCGAUGAUCGGUACGGGUUGUGAGAGCAAGAGCCCGGAGAUGGAACCUGAGACAAGGUUCCAGACCCUACGGGGUGCAGCAGGCGCGAAACCUCCGCAAUGUACGAAAGUGCGACGGGGGGAUCCCAAGUGUCAUGCUUUUUUGUAUGACUUUUCAUUAGUGUAAAAAGCUUUUAGAGUAAGAGCUGGGCAAGACCGGUGCCAGCCGCCGCGGUAACACCGGCAGCUCGAGUGGUAGCUGUUUUUAUUGGGCCUAAAGCGUUCGUAGCCGGUUUGAUAAGUCUUUGGUGAAAGCUUGUAGCUUAACUAUAAGAGUUGCUGGAGAUACUAUUAGACUUGAAGUCGGGAGAGGUUAGAGGUACUACCGGGGUAGGGGUGAAAUCCUAUAAUCCUGGGAGGACCACCUGUGGCGAAGGCGUCUAACUGGAACGAUCUUGACGGUGAGUAACGAAAGCCAGGGGCGCGAACCGGAUUAGAUACCCGGGUAGUCCUGGCCGUAAACGAUGUGGACUUGGUGUUGGAAUGGCUUUGAGUUGUUCCGGUGCCGAAGGGAAGCUGUUAAGUCCACCGCCUGGGAAGUACGGUCGCAAGACUGAAACUUAA